rnacentral:lncRNA from 1 species
ACCCACCGCUUGCUUGAUCGGUGGAGGGUCGUUAGCCGAACGGGUAAGACAAGGACUUAUUAAUUCUCAUUCAAAGUAUGAUGAAUAUUAUAAAGUAACUAAAUGUUUUAUUAAAUUCCCAAUCUUAGUUACUUUAGGAAAAAUGUGAAUAAGGUGCUAUUCCAUGAAAUUACACUUUACACUUUGAUUAAGUCGUUGGUGGAGCGUGUGUGGUUAACCGGCACACUAACUUGGACUUAACAAGGUAGGUAAAGGGUGACUUAGGGUUUAUUAUAGUAUCGAUGGAGCGUGUGUGGUUAACCGGCACAUCGAUUGAGUGAUAAACUUUAAGGGUACCAAGUGAUUUGCAUGGUUACUUCACACCUCGUUUUGUGAUCCUCGGUAUCCCAGUCACAAAACUUGGAGGGCACACUCGAGAUUGAAACAUGCCUUUGAAAAGUUCAUUGAAUCUCAAAGAAUCUAGGAAUUUCUAAGAACCAUUCAAAAACCUAAUACUAAAAUAUUGCGGUUUUCGUGGUGGAAAUUGGUGAAUCGUCAUUCACCUACCUUUCAAAUAUGAUAUAGCUUAGAUUACGGCAUACCUCUUCUAAGUUAUAUUAUAUUGUGAUUGGAUCCUAGCCUUAAUAUUACAUUUGGGUGUUUUAUUAAGGACUCUCUUAUAUCUAAACUAAUCUUGUCCUCUUUCCUUCAGAUGUCUUUCAACAAUGCUUCUGGCUCUAAUCCUAAUGGCUCCUUUACCCUUAUGAACUUGUGUGGGAAAGUCACCUUUGAUGGAUCCAACUUCAAUGAGUGGAUCAGAAACAUCAGGAUGAUUACCCGCUACGAGGACAAAGAAUAUGUCCUUGACAAGGAGCUUAAGGAGAUUGAUGAGUCCACUGCAACUCCUCAGGAGAUCGCUGAAUUUCGGGCACAUGAAAGGGAUGCUACGAAAGUGGCUUGCAUCAUGAUGGCCACGAUGACAGCGGAACUCCAAAAGUCUUAUGAGGAUUUCUACCCUUAUGAAAUGCACCAAGAUUUGAUGGAAAGAUACCAUCAAAGUGCAAGACAAGAGAGGUAUGAAAUCAUCUGCUCCAUGAUAACAACCAUGAUGAAGGACGGGGAAUCCGUCACGAGCCACAUGCAGAAAAUGCAAAGGUAUGUGGAUCGUUUGCUGAAGCUUAAUGUGAACUUCCCGGAGGAUCUUGCAAUAGAUAUUAUUUUGCAUUCCUUACCAUCGUGCUAUGAUCAAUUCCGCAUGACAUAUCACAUGAACAAGGAAGAAGUCACCCUCAGCAAACUUCAGGGACUUCUCAAGACCGCAGAAUCAGGUCUUAAGGGGAAGUCGGUUGCUAUCACUCCUACUCAAAACUCUACUCCGGUUUUGGCAAUCGGGAAAAGUCGAGGGAGGAAGAGAAAGAGCUCUUCUAAGGGUACCAAGGUUCGGACCCUUGAUGGCUCUUCUUCAAGUGGAACCAAGAAAGGUUUCAUUACUCCUUCUUCUGACCCAAAAGAGGCUGAAUGCUUCUAUUGCCAUGAAAAAGCUCAUUGGAAGCGGAACUGCCCAAAAUACCAGCAAGAUGUGAAGGAUGGGAAAGUUAAACCCAACCAUGCAGGUAUUUACACUAUCAUUUCUAAUAACUCACCCCAUUCUAAUUCUUGGGUCCUUGAUACCGGGUGUGGUAUUCACAUUUGUUGUGACUUGCAGGGACUAAGAAGAAGUGAGGAUGUGGAGCAAGGAAGGAUAAACUUGAUCAUGGGGAAUAGGAAAGCUAUACCUGUUACCAAGAUUGGAGUUUAUACUUUAUCGCUAAGUAGUGGGUUUAGUUUAGAUUUGAAUAAGUGUUGUUAUUCGCCAGGAAUGGCAAGAAAUAUUAUUUCCUUUCAUGCUUUGUACAAACAAGGGUUUACCUUUUCAUUUAAUAAUGAAGUUGGUUCUAUAGAUGUUUUCUAUAAUAAUGUCUUUUAUUUUAAAGCAUUACCUUGUGAUGGUGUGUAUGAAGCUGUAUCUGUUGUAGAUAACUUGGGAAAUAAUGUUUUGUGUAUUGAUUCUACUAAUAAUAACUUGGAUAAAGCAUCUUUAUGGCAUUGUCGUCUUGGACAUAUAAGCAAGAAACGCAUAGGCCAACUCCAAAAGGAUGGAGUCUUGGAGUCGUUUGACCUAAAGUCAGAUGAUAGUUGCGAAUCAUGCUUACUUGGAAAAAUGACAAAGUCACCCUUCACAGGUUCGUGUGAGAGGGGUGAAGGUUUGUUGGACCUUAUACACACGGAUGUGUGUGGACCAUUCAAACAUGCCACAAGGGAUGCUAAUCGUUAUUAUUUGACUUUUACUGAUGAUUAUAGUAGAUAUGGAUAUGUCUACUUGAUCAAGCAUAAGUCAGAGACUUUCGAGAGGUUUAAGGAAUUUAAACAGGAAGUCGAGAAUCAAUUGGGCAGGAACAUUAAGAUGCUUCGAUCCGAUCGUGGUGGUGAGUAUCUUAGUUCAGAGUUCCUCGACUAUCUAAGGGAAUGUGGGAUAGUCUCACAAUUGACACCUCCCAGGACACCACAGUUGAAUGGUGUGGCUGAGAGGCGUAAUCGAACCUUGUUAGAUAUGGUUCGUUCCAUGAUGAGUCGAGCUACGCUACCAAUCUCAUUCUGGGGGUAUGCCUUAGAGACUGCCGCCCAUAUUCUUAAUCUAGUCCCUACAAAGAAAGUUGCCAAAACUCCUCACGAGAUGUGGACUGGUAAAGUACCUAAACUAGACCACAUCAAGAUUUGGGGUUGCGAGGCUUUCGUGAGACGCGAGACUCAUGAUAAGCUCGAACCUCGAAGCGAGAGGUGUAUUUUCAUCGGUUACCCACAGCGAUCCUUUGGUUACCUCUUCUACAGACCUAGUGACAAUGUGGUCUUUGUAGCAAGAAGAGGAGUCUUUCGAGAAAGAGAGUUUAUAAGCCAAGGAGACAGUGGGAGGCAAAUUGAUCUUGAAGAAAUUCAAGAAUCAAGCGGUGAAGGAACUUCAAACUCUAGCCCUCAACUUGAGGAGGAAACUCCUGUUGAGCCAAUUGACAAAUCUGUACCUCUGAGACGUUCCACGAGAGUUAGGAGUGCACCUGAGCAUUACUAUGGAUUCCAUAUUACUGCAGAAGGUGAGACACUUAUUAGUGAUGAGACACUAGUAAGUCAAGAUGACCCUAACAGCUACGAGGAAGCCAUGGCAGGCCCCGAGUCUGCUAAAUGGAAAGAGGCUAUGGAUAGCGAGAUACAAUCCAUGUAUGACAAUCAAGUUUGGAACUUGGUUGAAAAUGUACCAGGUCGUAAGACAGUAGGGUGCAAAUGGGUCUUCAAGAAGAAGACCGACAUGGAUGGUAAAGUACACACUUAUAAGGCUAGACUGGUUGCAAAGGGCUUCUCUCAAAUUCCUGGAGUGGAUUAUGAUGAGACCUUUUCUCCGGUAGCCAAGAUUAAGUCUAUUCGGGUUCUGUUAGCCAUAGCUGCAUUUCAUGACUAUGAAAUAUGGCAGAUGGAUGUCAAAACCGCUUUCCUUAAUGGAAAGUUGGCUGAAGAUGUUUACAUGAGUCAGCCAGAGGGUUUUGUCAGCAACGAGUACCCUAAUAGAGUGUGUAAGCUUGAGAAAUCCAUUUAUGGAUUGAAGCAAGCACCUCGCAGAUGGAAUCUUUGCUUUGAUGAAAAGGUCAAGGAAUUUGGCUUUUCUAGGAGUGAAGAUGAAUCUUGUGUGUAUGUCAAGGCUAGUGGGAGUAUAGUUAGCUUUUUGGUAUUGUAUGUGGAUGACAUACUACUCAUAGGAAACGACAUUCCAACCCUGCAGGAAGUAAAGUCCUGGCUUGGGAAGUGUUUCGCUAUGAAGGACCUUGGUGAAGCUGCCUAUAUUCUAGGGAUAAGAAUCUUGAGAGAUCGGAGUAAAAGACUAAUUGGACUUAGUCAGAGUACCUACUUGGAUAAGGUGCUGAAGAGAUUCAGCAUGCAGGAUUCCAAGAAAGGAGAGUUACCCAUCCAGAGUAACACCAGAUUGAGUAAGACACAAAGCCCUAGCACUGAGGCUGAGAUAGCAGAAAUGAGUCGAACACCUUACGCUUCGGCUGUAGGAUCGAUCAUGUAUGCUAUGACGUGUACUCGACCCGAUGUAGCUUUUGCCUUGAGCAUGGUUAGCAGGUAUCAGGCGAACCCUGGCAAGGCACACUGGACUGCGGUAAAGAAUAUCCUCAAGUACCUACGGAGGACUAAGGACUGGGUCCUUACCCUCGGUGGGAGUGAUGACUUGAGAGUUGUAGGGUAUAGUGAUGCUAGCUUCCAGACUGAUAGGGAUAAUUUCCGCUCUCAGUCGGGCUGGGUCUUUACCCUAAACGGAGGAGCAAUUUCUUGGAAGAGUUCCAAGCAAGAGACAGUGGCAGAUUCUACUUGUGAAUCAGAGUAUAUUGCAGCUAGCGAAGCAGCAAAGGAGGCGAUAUGGCUGAAGAACUUCAUUGGAGACCUUGGAGUUGUACCAGCUAUUAAAGAGCCAAUGGAAAUUUUCUGUGAUAGUGAAAGUGCUGUUGCCUUAGCCAAGGAACCAAGGGAUCAUGGGAGAUCCAGACACAUCGACAGAAAAUACCAUUUCAUUAGACAUCGGAUCGAAGAAGGACUCCUCGUGGCAAAGAGGGUAUCAUCGGAUGAGAACCCAGCAGAUCCCCUCACGAAGGGACUGAGUAGGGUUAAGCAUCUCCAGCAUGCUCGGAGCAUAGGGCUGAAGGAUGAUAUAAGUUUUAGUAGUUAGAUAACCCAGAAAUUUGUAAAGUGUAAUUGACAUUUGAUGAUGAAUAAAAGGUGUUUUAUUUAUGAGUAAAGUGUUGCUAUCUCUUGUCAAUCGUUUACUAUAUUUCUUUUGCAUGUUUUGACUUCCAGAAUAAUUUUGUUUGGUGUAACAUAUUAUUCAAACCUCCACAGUCGGUCAUAUGUCGGAAGUAGGUAUGAAUCAAGACUGUCAUGAUGGGUUGUAGAGGUCUAAGGUGUUGGACAAGGCUACAACAAUCAUGAGUGCUCAUAAGUUCUGAGCAUUGGACUCAACCCACGCUCACUGGAAUCACUUCAUGGAAUUCUAUCUCGAGUGAUCGUGAGACGGUAAUAUCAUAUAAGUCUUCAAACCUAGAGAUAUGAUUUGUUACUUACAAGUUGGUUAUGCAUUGACUGUACGAAACCGCAUUGGUAACUCGAUGUUAUAAAACGUACUUUUGUGUGUAAUUCAAUGAGUGGUAGAACAAACAUAUGAGUCGAAGUUUAUCUGUUCCUUCUUGGAUUAGAAGCUGAUAUCUGGGCCCCUCGAUGAUUUUGUUUUGACCCAUGUACCGGGCCCGGUCAGAACUAAGUUGAUGUGUUCAAUUAAGUUCUAUGUCAAACAAAUCGGAAAUCGGGAAACAAAUGCUGGACAAUAAGCAAGACAAUGUUCCAUGUAUUUGUCCGGCUGAUAUCUAGAACGGAGGAUUAUAUGAUCACUUAUCUUAAAUGGCGUACCAUCAUCUUCUCAGUUCCGAGAGACCUUGAAAGAGCUACGAUUGCCGGUCGGUUCCUGAAGUACUAGAGAUAUAGUUAUUAGACUUAUCCAAGUGGGAGACUGUUGGAUAAGGUGUCUAAGUCCAUAACUAUUUCGGGCUUGUACUUGACCCGACCCGGCAUGGUCCAUUUGGGUUGCAUGGCACCAUGCAAUUGGAUAGACUAAAUGAGAGAAAUAACACUUGGAGAUUAUUAAUAUAUUAUAAGUUCUAAUAUAUUAAUAAUAUUAUUUGAUUAGUUGAUCAAAGAAUUAAUUUGGAAUUAAUUAAGUGAUCAAAGGAUAACUAAUUAAAUAUAUGGGUUGAUUAUGUAAAUCAUCCAUAUCUUGUAUAGUGGGCUAAGAGGCUCCAUGGAUUAUCAAGUUGGGUUCUACCCAUAGGAUGCUCCAUGGAUGCUCCAUGGGAGUUACAAACCCAUGGGUCAUGGAAAUGAAGAGUCAUGACACAUUAGGGUUUACAUGGUGUAACCCUAGAUGUGUCAACACUAUAUAAGGAUCCCAUUCUCCACCAAAAUCGGUGACACAUAAGAAACAAGAGGGCUAGGCCGAUUUCAAGAAGUGUGUAUUCUCUCAAAAGUCUUUCCAAGAGCAUUUGGUGUUGUGUGAAGCAUUUGAGGCAUCACACUUGUGUUCCCCAUGUAUGCUAGAUAUGAAUAUAACCUUGGAAUUCAACUUUGCUUGAUAAUUAGACAAACAUAGAUCCAAGGUUAUUAGGGUUGCAUAUACACUUAGGAAGUGUUAGAAUGCUCAAAACCCUUCAAGUCGAACUUCACCCGAAAUAGACUGAACGCUCGGUUUAUUUCGGUUCGCUCUAUUUCGCUUGAAGCGAAGGCGAUUUUGGUACGGAUUCGGCUUGCAUCAUUCCUAGGCCUUGUAGAAUCUUAUUGAACCUCGCUUCAGGUAAAGUCUUAGUGAAUAUAUCUGCCAGUUGAUCAGUCGUUCUGACGAAGUGAAUUUCUACGUUACCAUCUUCGACGUGAUCCUUGAUGAAGUGGUACCUCAGUGCUAUAUGCUUGGUGUUCUAGUGUUGCACUGGGUUGUGACAAAUCCUAAUUGCGCUUUCAGAGUCGCAAUAUAGUGGGAUUUUUUUUCAUGUUUAGCCCGUAAUCCUUAAGCCGACUUUGUAUCCAAACGACUUGAGAUGUGCAUGAUGCUGCAACAAUGUAUUUAGCUUCUGCAGUUGAGAGAGAAACACAAGUUUGUUUCUUCGAUUUCCAACUAACCAAUUUACCAUCUAGAAAUUGACAUCGUCUAGUCGUGCUUUUGCAAUCUACUCCACAACCACCUAAAUUAGCAUCUGAGAAUGCUUGAACAAAGAAUCCUGAGUUGGCUGGAUACCACAGACCGAGAGAGGAGGUUCGUUUCAGAUAGUGAAAGAUGUUUUUCACGGCUUGUAGAUGAGGUUCGCGUGGGUUGUCUUGAAAUCAUGCACAGUAACACACUGAGAACAUGAUGUCAGGUCUACUGGCUAUGAGAUACAUCAGAGACCCAAUCAUUUGUCGAUAGAGCGUCAUAUCAGCAGCUGGUUUCUCCAAUGAGGGUGUAAGCUUUGUCCCAAAGGCCAUAGGCACUUUCACUUUGGAGUCUCCCAUGAUCCCAAACUUACCCAAUAGAGUCUUGGUGUAUGCCUCCUGGUUAAUAAAAAUGCCUUCGGGUGCCUGUCUAAUGUUUAAUCCAAGGAAAAAGUUAAUUGGACCCAUUGAGCUCAUCUCAAAUUUAGUUUCCAUCAACUUCCUGAAUUCAGCUGUUAAGCUAGGAUUCGUGGAGCCAAAGAUGAUAUCAUCAACAUAAAUUUGGACUAUCAUAAGGUGGUUACCUUUUCGCUUGCGAAAGAAGGUUGGGUCAACCGAACCAUGUUUUAAUUUAGACAUUUUUAAGAAACGAGUGAGAGUUUCAUACCAUGCUCUGGGAGCCUAUUUUAGACAAUAUACUGCUUUGUCAAGGACAUAACAAUAAUCUAGAUACUUCUCGUUCACGAAGCAUGGCGGUUGCUCAACAUACACAGUUUCUUCAAGUUCCCCAUUGAGAAAAACCCUAUUGACGUCCAUCUGAUAGACUUCAAAGUUCUUGUGAGCUGCAUAGGCAAGAAAGAUAUGAAUAGACUCUAAUUUUGCAACUGGAGUGAAGGUCUCUUCAUAAUCGAUGCCUUUCCUGAAAGUAUCCUUUCACCACUAGCCGUGCUUUGUUAUGAAUGACAAUCCCCUCCUUGUCCAUCUUGUUUCGGAAUACCCAUUUUAGACUGACAACCGAAGCAUCCUUUGGAGUUGGAAUAAGAAGCCAUACUUUGUUUCUUUCAAACCCAUUUAACUCAUCUUGCAUGGUUUGAACCCAGUCUGAAUGAUCAAGUGCAGAGUUAACGGUCUUCGGUUCAACUUUGGAAACAAAAGAGUUGAACAUGCAAAACUCUACUUGAGAAAAGAGUGCAGCUUCUUUCGCUUUGAUUUGAGAUCGAGUUAACACUUUUUCUGAAGAUUCCCCGAUAACUUGACUUUGAGGGUGAUCUUUGGUCCAUUUGAUAAGUGGUGGGUAAUUUGGAUCAUAAGUGGGAUCCAAUUCGGCAUUUAUUUCUUCUUCUAAUUCAGACAUAAUGUCAUCAUCAUUGACGUUGGUGUUCUCCCCCUCGAAGAAUGACUCCUGUUCAGUACCUGUAUUGGUAUUCCCUCCUUUGAUUGGAUUCUCAGAAGAGCUUGAAGAAUGAGACGAUAAGCUCUCCCCCUGGAACGAUGAACCUUGAUCAUGAUGAAAAGAUGGACCCUCCCCCUAGACAUUAGGACGGUCAAUUGAAGGUUCGCUUGCUUCUGGCUUUUCGGUUUCUUUGGAUUGUUCAUCAGCCAUCUUUUGAGCAGCGCCGUCGAUCAAUUUUUUUUAGUUUGUCAACUUUUUUGUCUUUUGCAGUUGAUUCAGAGUCAAUCACCUUUUGAGGCUCAUCAAACAAAAUCAAAUAUUGCUAGAAAAGAUUUGAGAUAGAGGUCUUAACUUGACCAUUCUUUGGAAAGAUUUCUUGCGUUGCAACUUCUGUUGAUUUCAUCUUCUUAACAUAACUAUCGUCAAAGGUGACAUGGUAUGUUUCUUCAAUCUUCUUUGAGCACUUAUUGAGAACUCUAUACACCUUGGAGUUCAGGGAGUAGCCNUAAUAGUUAUUAGACUUAUCCAAGUGGGAGACUGUUGGAUUAGUGUCUAAGUCCAUAACUAUUUUGGUAUGUACUUGACCCGAUGGUGCAUGGUCCUUUUGGGUUGCCUUCACCAAAGCAACUUGAUAGGAUGAAUUAUGGAGAGAAAGGAUUAAAUAUGAUUUAUUAAUAUAUUAUGGGAAUAAUAUAUUAAAGGAGAAAUCAUAUUGUUUAAUUAAUAUUAGUCAAUAAUUAAUUGGUAAUUAGUUUUGUGACUAAAAGAGAUUAAUUAAACUUAAGGGAUUGGAAUUGUAAUUAUAAGAUAAUUCCAAUUUGGGCCAUGGAUUGCCUUAUAAUAAGGAGUCGACGAAUUCUAUGGGGAAGCCCAUAAGGAAAUUGUCCAAGGCCUUAAGGAAAGGGGUCCAUGGGUUGCUUAGGGCUUAAGCAUCCAAAUUAAGGUUUCCUUGUUAGAUAACCCUAAUAGCCUCACUAUAUAUAGACCCCUUAAGGACGAAAAACGUGGCUAAGCUUUGUUCUAGGGUUUCACACGUUUUUGGGCAGCCUUCAUCCUCUCUCCUCUUCAUCCUCUUGCUUAUGGUGUUUGUGAACCAUUAGAGGAGUGACAUUUGUGACUCUAGGCUUUCUAAAGUCAAUACAAGGAGAUUUGGGAUUGUUAUUACUACAUAACAAUCAAGGUAACAUCUUAAACCCAUUCUUAUGUUGAUAUGAUUACUUGUAUGCUAGAAUUAGGGUUUAUAGUCUUGGAUAACUUGCAUGUACAAUACAGAAACCUAGAUCCAAGCAUUAGGGUUUGUAUGAGCACAUAGGAUGUUCUUAGGACCAAAACCCAUCAGAAUAUUCCUUCAUCAUCCUUAGCAUCAAACUUAUUUCGUCUGGAGUUGAAGAUGAAGCAUCUUGAACCAAACACAUGAACGAAUUUCACAUUUGGUUUACGAUUAUUCAAAAUCUCGUAAGGUGUAAUGGAGAAUCGCUUGUUCAAAUCUGAUCUGUUUUGAGUAUAACAUGCAGCGGCAAUUGCAUCAGCCCAUAAGUAUAGAGGUAUGGACGCGAAGCAUAGCAUUGUUCGAGCUACUUCACACAGAGAUCGGUUUCGUCUUUCAACGAUACCAUUUUGCUGUGGAGUAUAAGGGGCUGAGAAAUUGUGAGUCGUUCCCUUUUCAGCAAGAAAGUCUUCAAAAUCUUUGUUCUUGAAUUCCAAGCCAUUGUCGCUUCUCACAUUACGAACGACUUCUCUUAGUUGUGUUUCUAUCUGUUUUAUAAAGAGCUUAAGCUUUGGAGUGGCUUCAGAAUUUUGCUUCAGGAAGAAUACCCAUGUAAAUCGAGAGAAAUCGUCCACUAUAACCAAAAUAUAUUUGUUUCCCCCAAUGCUUUCAAUGGACGAGGGACCACACAAGUCAAUAUGUAACAGCUCCAAUGGUUCUAUCACCUUAGUAUUGAUAAUAGAAGGAUGACUUUUCCUACUCUGCUUUCCCAUUUCACAGGUAGCACAGAGGUGCUCUUUAUCAAAUUUUAGAACUGGAAGACCUCGAACAUGAUCACCCAAAACCAACUUGUUGAUAUCCUUGAAAUUCAGAUGAGAGAGUCUUCGAUGCCAUAACCAACAUUCAUCAGAGUUAGCCUUUGUGAGUAUUAAAACUUCUGGUUUGCCUCGAAUUGGGUUGAGGUUUAAAGGAUACAUUUCCCCCUUUCGCUUUGACUUCAGCAGAACGUUAUUAGAUUUAUUCUCGACAAUCUCUGAGCCUUCAUCGUCAAAUGAUACUGUCAUGCCAGUGCCAACUACCAGUUGUGAUACACUGAUAAGGUUGUGUUGGAUCCCUUCAACAUAAGCCACUUUUCUUAUAGAGAACUCGCCAUUAGUGAUCAUUCCAUAGCCUUUGAUAGUACCAAAUGAGUUGUUGUCGUACUUCACAAUACCACCAUCCUUGAGAGACCGAAACUCCCUCAGUUGUUCCUUCCUUCCUUUCAUGUGAUGUGAGCAGCCACUAUCAAUGUACCAUUCUUUGUCAAACUGCUCAUCACAAAUAACCUGCAACAUAUUAAGCAGAUUUAGGAACCCAAAGUUUCUUGGGUCCUUUUGAGCCUUUUACAGGACAGGGAAUAGUAAGAGAAAUAUCAACCAUGUAUGUUCGUUUAACUAAAGUUGUUUCAUCUUUUCUUUUUAUGGUGAAAACUUUAAUUUUGGUUGAUUUAGUAGGAUUGGAAUUUGUGGUGUUGACGGCAACAUUCUUUUGGAUUUUUUUUGGAAGACGGUUAUCUUCAGGAAAGAGUUUUCCUUUUCCCUUUGAAUCAAUUGAAGGACGAGAAUUGGAAUGUGAAGUGUUGGAUUCAGAAGUGACUUUGGAUCCCCUGUGUUUCUGAUUGGACUUGUAUGGAUAGGGACCGAAACUGCUCUAUCGGUUGCAGUUGGGUGGACAGCCGAGACCGCUCUUUUGGUUGAUAUUACUUCGAGGACCGAAACGAUCCUUUUGGUUCCUUUCGAUCGAGGGACUGAACCUCUCCUUUUGGUUCCUUUCAAUCGAGGGACCGAAACCAUCCUUUCGGUUCGUGUUGUUCUGAGGACCGAAACUACUCUUUCGGUGUAUUUCGGUCGUGGGACCAAAACUCCUUUUUCGGUUCCUCGAUUCCUCUUACGUUUUAUGCUUCCAGUCAAUCCUUAUAAAGUGAGGAUUUUGUGAUUUCCAAAACUGUUUUCUUUCUGAAAGAUUAUUCUUGUAUCUUAGAUUACUUUGGUGCUUUCGAUCAGCCACCUGUUUUGCACUUCUGUGGAUGUUGGCCUUUCUUUUCGAAGCAUGAUCACAACAUUCACUUUUUGCUGAGGAUGUUUCACUAUUGGUUUGCACAGGUUCGCCCAAUGAGGUUUUGGUUCCACUUGUGCUUGGCACAUCAUAUCUUGCAGGGUCAUUUAGUGGUUUGGGUAUAUAUCUACCUUUCACUCUCCAUGAGGUCUUCUGAGAUAGGCCCUUAGUCUCAUCAGCGUUGUCUAUUGGUGCUGACCAGAAAAACUCGUCACAUCCGCCAUCAUUAUCUUCUUCCACCAUAGCUGUCAAUUCUGCAGUUUGUUGUGGAGUGACACCCGGAACCGUGUAGACUUGAUUUGGAGUGGUUUUUACCUUUUGGUACACAACAACUUUAGCUUUGAGAACUUUGGUCUACUCAGUAGAUGGCGAGCGAACUCAACAGAGUUUUCAGAAAUCAGGUUUUUGUGUGAGUUAGGUUCACUUUUGACAAAUUCUGAACAGUCCACCAUAUCUUCUAUAGAGAUUUCACUCAGAUCAUCAUCCUAAUUAAGUUCAGAUGCAUUUUCAAAAUCAAUUUUAUUGUUUUUAACUUAAUUUGGCAUUCAAAGAGUCAAAUUUAUGUACAGUUUCGACUCUUAAUUUCAAUCUAUCAUUUUCGUCUAACAGAUUUUUGAGCAUGUCCUUGUGGUCUUUGGACUAUAUGUAGGAUUCAAUUUUCUCCAGACCUAUUUUAUAUGCUAGAGAAACCUCCUCAGAAGAUACAACACUUUCACAGUUAUAGGCUUCAUCAUCAAUUUCAUCCUCCUUUAACGCAAGGAAGGGUAAAAUCAUGCGAUGUAUCUUCUUUCCUAUUUCACAAUCAAGAUGCAACUGAGUGAUGUUAAACAAAACACAUUUCGCUGUUUAAGAAGUUUAAGAUUUUCUCUUUGCAAAUAAAUUGAAUCAUCCUUAGACUUAAUUAACUCCUUCUCCUUUAGCUCGAUCCAUAUCCUCCUUUCCUCACUCUUUGAUGAAAUCCUGCUAAUUUGAUCAGUUAGGUUAGAAUUUGUGACACGGGUUUAGGUGAGACUGCUACUUAUGCUUGAAAAUUUAGAUUUUAAGUUAUUUAAUUCCUUUUCAUAGUCAGUAACAGGUAUUUCUAGAGAAGCAAGAAUAUUUUGUACCUUCUUGAUCAACUCAUCACAUUCAUUGAUCUGUGCACUGACAGGUUUGGCAGCAAAACACCUGUCCUCUCUCUCUCCUUCUUGCCUUCUACUCCCCCGUCGGUUGUAUAUCCUCUCAUUUGAGACACAACUUCGGUCACCACAAAGCAUCUUCCUGUUACAUUUUCUUCAUUCGCCAGCAUAGCCUUCCCAUGAGUGGGCUUCCUGACUUCUUCAUCCUCUGAAUCUGUGGACCAAACUUCCACAGCACCAAAUUCAUCACAUUUGUCUGUAUCCUGCACAAUUAAAGCAUUCAUAGUAGUAUUGUUAGCAACAGACUUUCUUUUCCUGAUUUCCUCCAGUCUUCUUAGGAGGCUCGCUUCCUCAUCUUCAUCAUUUAUCUUUUCUUCUUUCUUUCUCAGCAUACAAUCUUUUGCAAAAUGGUUCUUGCCUCCACAGUAAUGGCAGUCAAAUCCUGAGUCUCCUCCAACUUUCGCUUCUUUCUUUGACUCUUCAUACUUUGACCCCAUCUUCAGUUCCUCCUUGAUCUUUUAGGUGUUGUAACUACCCUGCCAGUUUCUGUUCUUGUUGGCUGGGAAUUUCUUCUUAAUGAAUUUUCUGGGAUUAGACACCAUCAUGGCAUAUUCUUCACCGGUUAGAUCAUAAUUGGAAAGAUCCAAUUCCUCUUCUUCUUCAACCGAACUUUUUCCUUUAGAAACAAGAGCUAAAGAACCCAGACUGGAAACCACAUUCGUUUCCUUAGACAGUGCACUUUCAUGGGAUUUCAAAAUACCUACUAGUUUCGCCAGAGAAUAUGACUUGAACUGUUCAUGAGCUUUAACUGUAUAUACAACAGCCAUCCAUUUGGAUCUGAAACCGUUCAUGAAAGUAACCUUUUGUUCGAUGACUUUCCUUUCAAUCUCAUGCUUUAUCAUCUUACUUAAAAGAUGAUUGAAGCGAUCAAAGGCUUGAAAUAGUUUCUCAUCAGGCUUCUACUUAAAGUCUCCAAAUUCAGACAUCAAGAGAGUUUGAAUUGAAUGUUCCAAGUCUUCGUCAGUGGAAUACAAUUCUUUUAAUCUGUCCCAGAUCUCUUUCGACGUGGCACAAGAACUUACCAAACGAAACGUAUCUGACUGCAGCGUAAACCUUAUCAUCCUCAGAGCCUUGAUGUUGCAUUGGAACUUUUCCUUCUCAUCUUUAGGAAUAUCUUUGACAUCGUUAACGAGCUGAUUGUACUCUUUUUGAGUUUUGACAAUCUUAGAGGUGCUUGAGUGAGCGAAUGGGCCAACAAUGAUCGCUUCCCAGAUCAACUAUCCAUUAUCCUCCGAUCCAAUCACAUAGUCUUCAAAGUGAUGCAUCCAAACUUCAUAGUCUUGUGCAUUCCAAAUUGGUAUCCUUGUCGUAGAACCAAUGUUGUUGGAGAUGUUGAUUGGAUUGGUUUGUGAAUCAUCCAUGGACAUUGUAAUGACUUUUGAUCGAAUACCUAUAAAAGAUCAGACUUGUAAUAUAUCGUUAGGGUUAGAUCAACGAUUAAUGAGAUACGUCAAUAUGGAAUGAUGAGCAAUUAAUAUCAAUCAAUGCGGAAUUAAAAACCUUAAUAACUUUUUCGACAUAAGAGAUGUGUAUGAAUUACACAGUCUCCUGCUCUGAUACCAAUUAAUGAGAAUUAAACUCUAGAUCGAUUAGAUCUUUCACAGGUAUGAAUAUGAAAAUCAAACAAGACAAGUACAAUCAUAGAAUGAACACAUAAUGGAAUCAAAUAUGUGCUUAUGAUUCAAUGAAGUCACGCCUCAGCAGAGCUCGAUAAAGAACUUCCGCUGUAGGGGCGAGCUAAGGUUUUCAAAACUCAAAGAGAAAAAUUAUCAAAAGCGUUAACAUCGAAGACUACAUGCAUACAACUUAUAUACUAAGCCCUAGAACAAAAACAUGCACGGUUGGACAGCCCCAAUAUUGGCAAUCAAAACUGGGCUAAGGACCGAGCCCAUGACGCAACAUAAUAAUCCCAACAAGACUUCAGAAUGGCAAGAGGAGGAAGUUAAGCUCUGAACAAUCUGUUGCCAUAGGAUUGAACCAUAAUCGAGAUGUACACCAUUGAACCAUAAUCGAGAUGUACACCUUUGAACAAGAGAGUGAACAAGCCAUUCCAUUGUGAGGGAAGGCAUGAUUUCUUGAACUUCGUUACAGUGGUUAGGGUUUCAGUGUACCCCAUCUUGUAGAACAUAGAGAACAAUUGACCAGUAGUGAUGGAAUUAGGGUUUACCAAAGUUGGUUCAUAGGCAAGACCUAGUAGUGAGCAUAAUCGAUUUUUAGAAAUCGAAGUCUUCUCGUUGUGAAUGUUGAAGUGCAAUCGUUCUGCAACAUUAUCAUAGUGGGCGGUGGAGUAGAUAUGAGAGAGAUAGGACAUAAGAACUACUUCCACCUUUGUGAGAGCGUUGACAAGAGGAGAAUAUUUGAGGCAUUCCAAAACCUGCAACAUGUAGGGUUCAUAGGAGAACGACGUUAGGUCAACCAAGAGGUUUUGUUGAGGCUUCAUGGUCAGAAGAGUGGAACGAACAAAAGUAUCUUGAAGAGAAGAGGAUUCCGCCAUGGAUGAAGCUUGAGAAGAUGAUGAUGAACAAUGAGAGAAAUCGUCGUUUGCUUUUGGAAGAAUUGAGAACGAUAAAAGAGUAAAGUUGAUUGUGAGAAACCCUUUUAUACGUGAGAGUAGGAGAGAGAAAAAUCCGUCUGAAAUCUCUCCUUUUGUGAAACGGUUCCCGAUGUAAUGGGGAUUAGACGGUUGGGAACACCGAUGAUGACGAAGGAGAGAGAAAAAUGAUUCACUUUUACGCGCCUUUCCAUAGAUAUCACCUUUUUCAAAUCGACGAAACUUUUGGAUAACUGCUGACUCAUCCAUUGUACUUUAUCUGAAACGUCACCAACAGAAAUAACAUUAACCCUUAUCACUCUGAUUAUUUCAUUUGAGAAUCACCAUAAUACUUUUAGAAAUGUAACGACGUAAAUUUUCAAAAUAGUUUUUCAUUUUUAAAACAUAAUUUCAUUCAAGACAAAACAAUAAAAUCCAAUGUAACAUGGUCAUUAUACAAAACAUAUCAAAUCCCAAGAUCAAACACAUCCAACUCCGUCUAUGUGUGUACGAGUCACGCUGGCGCCUUCCCACGGUCCUCACUGGUACCUAAAACACAUUACACAUAAACAAUGUAAUCAAGAAGCUUAGUGAGUUCCCCAUAUACCACUUACACAUAUACGCCUUUCCAGGCCAUACUCUACAUGACCUUCUGGUCCAUGUGUCUCAUGGGACUUCCAUCCCAGUCUCGGUAGACUUUCUGAUCCUACCCAUACCGACCUUCCGGUCCAUGACUCCCUGACCUUCCGAUCCAUGCCAUAAUGCCUUCCGGCCCAUAUCAUACAUAGCAUACAUAUCACAUACAUAACACAAAGAGCACAUGCAAUGCAUAGCAUACAAUACAUGCAUCUCAUAGCAUACAAGACCUUCCGGUCACACAUAGAUACCUUUCCAGGUACAGUAUAGUGAGAAGACUCACCUCGGGUAAAUCUCGGAAAUCUCGGACUCUAUGAGAUAAGAUCUAGCCUCCGCCUAAUCAUAACAAACACUUCUCAUUAAUACAUUUCCCUAAGGCUAGACUCUUUCCUUUCCUAUCAUUCUCAGAAGGGUAAAAGACCAUUUUACCCCUCUCAUGGCUCAAAUACCCAAAAGUUGAACAAACCCUAAAAGUCAACAAAAGUCAACCUUCUGAGGUACGCGGCGCGUACUAGAUCUGUACGCUGAGCGUACCCGGAGGCUUCUCAGAAUCCGGGUACGCGGCCCCUUACGCCGCGCGUACUGGGAUUACGCCCAGCAUAACUCCCAACUUUCUCCUCCUUUUCAUUCAGGUCUUAAUUAUUUAAGACUUGCGUCCAAAAUCCAGAUCUGACAUCUCAAGUACGUCUUAAUCCAUAAAGUUGGCGAGUUUAAGCCUUUGCAUGGCUGUGGAAGUCACCAACACCCAAAACACUCCAUUUCCAACCUUAAAAGGUCAAUAUAUCAUGCAUGAACAACUUUUAACAACCAAGACUGGAUUUUUAUCACAUCACAACACUAAAUGAGCUAGUAUGGGACAGAUCUCGGCUUCUAUGAGCUCAACUACUCAAAAACCUAUGAACAUGGGGACCAAAAACCCUAAAACUUCUCUCUACAAAGCAUGAACAGAAAAGAUGCAAAGCUUGAAGCUUUUUACCCCAAAAUGAAGCUUCUCUCAUUGUUAAACUCGGAUCCAAAAGCUUGAGCUCCAACCCUUCCUCUUCCAAGACUAUCACUUUGCUCCAAAUGGCCAAAAACACAAUACAAAGCCCUCCUAGACACUCCCUUGCUAUAAGAACGAGAUUUAGGGUUUGAAAUGGUAAAGAUCUGGAAAAGGUGGCCAACAAAAGGGCCUUAAGGUUGCUUAAAUGAAGAGGCUCAACAUAUUAGGGUUUCUCUUUUGGGCUGGGUACACCCCGCGUACAUGGCAACCCUUCCCGCUCAAGACACGGACGAGUACGCUGAGCAUACACCCCAGUACGCCCCGCGUACUCAACAAACAUACAUAUCCUUAACAAGGGCCAAAAGUGCUAGUUGCUCAAAGAUGGAGGUUCACGAGGUAUACCUGAUUUUUGGGAUGUAACAAUUCUCCCCCACUAGAACCAGACUUCGCCCUCGAAGUCUUAUGUCGCGAACACUUCUGGAUGCUGCUCCCGCAUCUUCAACUACGGCUCCCAAGUCAGCUCGGACCCUUUCCGAUGUUGCCACUGGACGUGCACCAGGGGCACUUCCUUGUUCCUCAGAACCUUGAUCUUUGGAUCCGAGAUUGCGAUCGGCUUCUCAGCAUAAUUCUGACUCGCAUCCACUUGGAUAUCCUCUAAUGGUACCACUGCCGACUCGUCGGCUAUACACUUCCUCAGCUGUGACAUGUGGAAGGUAUCAUGAAUCUGGUCCAACUCCGCAGGUAGCUCCAAAUGGUAAGCUACUCUGCCCACCCUCGCGACCACCUUAAACGGCCUAAUAUACCGUGACCCCAGCUUGCCCCCCUUCCUAAAUCGGAUCACUCCUUUCCAAGGAGACACAUUCAGGAGUACAAAAUCCCCAACCUGGAACUCGAGCUCGGAUCAUCUCUUAUACGUAUAACUCUUCUUGCGACUCUAAGCGGUCAACAACCUUUUUCUGACCCACUGUAUCUGCUCUGUCGUCUGAAGCACUAUCUCUGUACUACCCAUCACAUAUUUCCCUACCUCACCCCAACAAAUUGGAGUCCGACACCUCCUCCCAUACAACAGCUCAAAGGGUGGCAUACCAAUGCUCGAGUGAUGGUUCUUGUUAUAGGAAAACUCAGCCAAGGGCAAAUACGUGUCCCAACUCCCUCCGAAGUCCAAUACACAUGCCCGAAGCUUGUCCUCGAGCGUCUGAAUCGUCCGCUAACUCUGUCUGUCUGUCUGUGGGUGGUAUGCGGUACUAAAAUUAAGCCUCGUACCCAACUCCUCGUGAAACUUCUUCCAGAAUCUGGAAGUGAAUCGCACAUCUCAUUCUGAAACAAUCAAGAUCGGUACUCCAUGUUGCGAUACCACCUCCCUCACGUACAACUCUGCCAGCCUCUCAGCCGAAGAACUCUCACUAAUAGCAAGAAAAUGAGCGCUCUUCGUCAACCUGUCCACAAUCACCCAAAUCGCAUUGACACCUCUUGCAGUCCUUGGCAAUUUGGUGAUAAAAUCCAUGGUAAUCUGUUCCCACUUCCACUCGGGAAUCUCUAAUGGCUGCAACUUACCAUGUGGACGCUGGUUUUCGGCCUUAACCUUGUGACAGGUUAAGCACCUCUCUACGAACCAUGCGACAUCUCUCUUCAUACAGGGCCACCAAUAUUCCCUUUUUAGGUCCAAAAACAUCUUAGUGGCCCUGGGAUGGAUCGAGAACCUCGAUCUAUGUGCCUCCUCCAUCAAAAUGGUACACGUUCCGCCCACAAACAAUACCCAAAUCCGAACCUGAAAGGUCAUAAGUCCUCGACUAUUGGAAACGAACUCCGAUACCUGUCCGAUCACCCGCUCCCUUUUGCGGUUUUCCAGUCUCACGGCCUCCGUCGUGGCCCCUCGAAUGGCGUCCAACACCAGAGUCAUCACUGUCAAUCUCAUGCAAAUGUCUCGUAUUGGGGCGCUCUCCGCCCUAAGGCUCAAGGCAUCGGCUACGACCUUAGCCUUGCCCGGAUGGUACAGGAUCUCAUAAUCAUAAUCCUUCACCACAUCCAACCAUCCCCUCUGGCGCAUAUUCAGGUUGGGCUGAUCCAUCAAGUACUUCAAACUCUUAUGGUCCGUGUAUAUGGCACAUCGAACCCCAUACAGAUACUGACGCCAAAUCUUGAGGGCGAACACCACAGCCCCCAGCUCCAGGUCGUGGGUGGGAUACCUCGUCUCAUGAGGCUUCAGCUGCCUCGAUGCAUAUGCUAUCGCAUGCCCCCUCUACAUAAGCACUGCUCCCAACCCGGAUAUCGAUGCAUCACAGUACACCACAAAAUCGUCCAUCCCUUCCGAGAGUUCGAGCACCGGAGCUUUGCACAAUCUCUGGCGAAGUGUCUCAAAUGAGGUCUGCUGCUCCGGACCCCAGGAAAAAGCGACACCCUUGCGGGUCAACUUGGUGAGUGGCACGGAGAUCUUAGAGAAAUCCUUGAUAAAUCUCCGAUAAUAGCCGACCAAUCCUAGAAAGCUACUGAUCUCGGUGGGCGAUCUCGGCACCUCCCACCUCAUGACCGCCUCAAUCUUGGCCGGAUCGACCAAAAUCCCACUCUGAUUGACGGGAUGCCCUUCUACAAUUGUCGUACUGACAGUGUAACUACUCUAGUAUUUGUAAUAAGUGACUACUUUAAGUACUAUUUUGUCUUAAUUGAGGGUUAAGGCAUAAUUUGAUGGCUAGAUCCUAUGCUAAACGCUCCAUUGUCAAGAGAAUUCUAAAAACUACACGCGACCCCUGCAUGAGUGCAAACCGCGAACAUCCACAUUACUAUGAUCAUGUAUACCCAAUAUAACUAUCACAAUGCGUUGUGAUUCAUUGGUAUAGUUAGAUCCUGAAAACGUUCCAUGCUAUAGCACCUUACUAUGUUCUGUUGUGUUAUCGUAUAUUGAUAUCGUAUCUAUGUAAGAGUAUUGCAUUAGUAUAGACUCAUGAACUGGAAUGACUCUUUGUGUGCUUCAUUGUACUAGAAGUAAUGAAUAGCUUUCUCCUAAACUAUACCUAUAAUAGUUUACUAAUGCUCUACUUGGACUAUUACUGAAAAGACUCGUUUCUCUACUAAGUUAUGCUUGUACUUUAAAAACGGAGCUUUGUAUAACUAUAAAGUAACAUAACCUUUAAAAGAGUUUGGAAAUGUUUUGACAACUUAUAAAUAACAUAAGUAACAUUUUGAAAGAUGUUUAUAACAUACAUUUACACAAUUAUCAUUGUGUUCAACUUGUAUUCCCCCCCCUUAAAAUAGUUAAAAUAGUUAAAAGAUUCAUUACGGGAUAUGAACUCACUUGAUGUGGGUGAUUCAAACGGGUAUGCGCGUACAGAUGAGAAGUUCCACGAAUGAUGUCCCGAGACACAAUAAGUCCUAAAUGAUAUAUAAUGACACAUUUUGGCAUGAAUAUAGUGUUUAUAACAACUAUAUGAAGGGAAACACCUUCCGGGACUAGGAAAGACCUUGACCAAGUGUUGGAAUCACAUGUGAUUCAACAAAGGAAGGUAGAAUGGCACUCACAUGAGUUUACUACGAUGGGUUUACGGCCCAAGGGAGUUUACGGCCGUAAACUCAUGGUUACUCAUGUAUACAUGCAAGCUUAAAGGUUGUAGAUGUUUUAGGGACCUUAUCUCUACCGUAGGAUGAGGAAUACCACUUUCUUUGAAGCUUUUAGGGUGUUCACGGCCCUAAUGAGUUUACAACCGUAAACUCAUGACCAUUUAUGUUUAUGAGAGUUAUUUAGGGUCCUAAAAGUCAUAGUGAAGCAUCCUAACUUCAAGUCUAAGCCUUAGGAAGUGUUUGUGGCACCAAUACACCCUCAAAUUGAGUUUUCGGCCCAUGGACCACUUUGACAUGUGUUUGCGGCCAUAAUCAUCUAUGGGUGAUGGUAUUUUGAUUGUUUUGAGUACUAAACACAUCAAGAUAAAGAGGUAGGCUAGUCUCUAGGCUUAAGGAAGGAAUUUGGGGCAUCUUUUCACCAUAAAAGGGAGUUUACGGCCCAAGAACAUCCUUGGCCGUAAACAAUCUUCUAACCUUUGUUUCUUGAUGUUUCUAAGGUCUAGACAUGUUUAAUCUAGUGUACAACAAGUUAGAAUAAGAGUGCUUACGAUAUAGGAGCUUGAACUAGUCGAUUUGGCCAAGAACACUAGUGUGUGUUCUUGGUGUUCUUGGUGUUUCUUGAUUAUCUAAUCAAACAUGAUUUUCAUGGACGAAAUCAAUGUAAGAAGCUAGUUAAUAAGAUGUAUUAACUAAUCAAGGGAUAGAAUACUCACUCUUUUGAAGAUCUAAGGUGAUUGUUGUUAUGAUAGUUGAGAGAGAAUGAAGAAAAUCCGGCCAAGGAAUGAUAUAAAUGACAUAAAAUGACCAUUUGCCUUAUAUAUGCUCUUGAGCUUACAGCCACAUGAGUUUACGGCCGUAAACUCAUGGUCUUGUGGCUGUGAACUCACUUAGAUUGGGAUUCGGUUCGAUUUGCUAUGCUGUGUUUCUAACGGGUACUUUCUAACACUUAAUCCUUAAGUGUUUUAGGCUCAAAAGUCCUUAGAAUGAUCUGUAACCAUGCUAGAACUUUGUACUAAUGAUUUUGACCAACGUUGCAAAACUCGGCCUACGCGGCCAAGUACUUGGCCGAUUACUCAGAAUCGGCCCUCCACCGAGGCGAGUAGUGUCAACUCGGCCAAAAAACUCAGAUUUAGUCAAAAUUGGGAAAAAACCGGUCAAACUCGGUCAAAAAUCGGACAAACUCGGUCAAACUCGGGCCUACUCGGUCAAACUCGGUCAAAAUCGGUCAAACUCGGUCAAAGGGUCAAAAUUUUUAUAAAAAGAGAAAAAAAUCAAGAAUUUCAAGAUUAAUAUGUAUAAUGCACUUAAUGAUUUAUUAUUUAACAAAAACAUGUGAUUAUUACUACAUAUAUAUCUUAAAUUUUCAGUAAUUAUCCACGUAGUGAGACAAUUAUGUGUAUUUCAGUUUUUAUGUAUUCACAUGUAUCUAAUUUUGGUUAUAUAUUUCAAUAAAAUUAUGAUUUUAACUCAUGAUUUUGACAUAUAUAAUUUUCCAAAAAAUAUUUCUAUAUGAAUUACCGAAUCCGAGUACUCCCCGAGUACUCCUGAGUACUCGCUACUCCCACUCGGCCGAGCAGGUACCGAGUAGGGAGUUCUAUAACCUUGAUUUUGAUACUCAGUUGAGUUGACUGACUGAGCUUAUAAAAUAAAAAAUUUUCGGGAUGUCACAGCACUCCUUGGAGAUAUGCCCCUCCUUGCCACAUUUGUAGCAAGCACCCGAUCGACAGACCCCAUCAUGUCCCUUGCCGCACUAUCCGCAAGUGCGACCCUUCUGGCCUCCAGUCCUCGAGUCAGCGGACUUGGUCUGCUUGGCUGCCGGCUAAGAUUGAGCCGUCCGCCGAUCCAUCCUCUGAGACUCGGCCUCCUCCCUGGCCUGAGUCUCCAACUCAAUCUCCCUCUUCCAGGCAUUUUCCUGGAGCUCAACAAAUGUCCGGUACCUCGAGUUCGACACGAACUCCUGAAUGUCUCUCCUCAGAACGCCCAAAUACAGGGUCAUAUGUGCCUGCUCAAAAGACACCUGCUCAGGGCAGAACAUCGCCCUCUCAUGAAACUUCCUCGUAAUCACAGUGACCGAAUCAGUUCCCUGAUUGAGGGUAAGGAACUCCUGAACCAACCCCUCCCUCUCCACCAAGGGAACAUACUCAUCUCUAAACAUGGUGGUGAACCUCUCCCAGGUCACCUCUGAGAUCUCUGCAACUAUAAAGCUUGCAGUCACGAACUUCCACUAGUCCUUCGCUCCUAAGCGAAGCUGGUUCAAUGCGAACCGGACCCUCAGAUGCUCCGUACAUGAACACGUGUAGAAGCAUCCCUCAAUAUCAGCAAUCCAUCUCAUCGCAAUGAUCGGAUCCUACGUCCCAUCAAACUCAGGUGGCUUCGUGUUGCUGAACUCCCGAAACAACAACGAGUCACCUCCCUGAGGCCUAGCAGCAGCCACAACUACAGUAGCUGUAGCGGCUACAACCUCAGUCACUAUGGCAUACCGCUCAUCGAAGGUCUCAAUCAGUGUGGUCUUGAUAGACCCAAACAUCUCCGGAAUCUCGGCCCUGAUCGCCGCCGCCACCUCAUCGUGGAUCAUCUGACGAAGCUCGUCGUCACUCACACCGCUCGCCUCAGGUCUGUGGCGCGUCCCAUCCAUGAUGUCUCUGAAAUAUAACAUAAUAAUAUCAAAGACUCGUUCGAGCAUGCUCGCACACGAUAACUCAACCCUACUUGUUGCUUAGUACCCAAAGGAUUCUUACUUAGAGUGCGCACUGCUCCGGUGUCUUCGGUAGUACGGGCCCUUAUACUACCGUCUACACCGUAUCAGUAUUCACCCUAAGUCCGCCUCCAUGGAUUGAUGAUCACAAGUACUCUAUAUCUCACUGGCAUAGGCUACCCUUCGGUAGACCUCUUAUCAGCCUCUCACUGCUACCUACUCACUCUCAAGCAUCACAUAGCAGCACAGUCCUUCCUAGGCAAAGGCAUCACAAAAUCAGGCCACUCUAGUUCUAAUAUGAAUACCUAACCAGCUCUAGCAUGCAUAACAUAACAUAUCAUAUCUCAUAACAGAUAACGUAAGGGCAUUUUGGGGAUUCACCUUUCGGGCGCUGGCUGACCGUACACACUGCUAUGCUCUGGUUGUCUCAAAAUCUCUUGUUUUUUUACAAAAACUUUAGUUUUAUCAUUUGAAAAUUUUCUCAAAUCCUCAGUUUGAGUUCAGAUACGCCCGAAGGUGCAUCCGAGUCCCUCAAACCAAGGCUCUGAUACCAACUUGUAACGGCGUAAAUUUUCAUAUCAAUUUUUCAUUUUAAAACGUAAUUUCAUUUAGGACAAAACCAUAAAAUCCAAUGUAACUUGGUCAUUAUACAAAACAUAUCCAAAUCCGUCUGUGUUUGUACGAGUCACGCCGACGCCUUCCGACGGUCCUCACUAGUACCUGAAACACAUUACACAUAAACACUGUAAGCAAGAAGCUUAGUGAGUUCCCCAUAUACCACUUACACAUAUACGCCAUUCCAGGCCAUAAUCUACAUGAACUUCCAGUCCAUGUGUCUCAGGGGACUUUCGUCCCAGUCUCGGUAUACCUUCCGGUCCUACCCAUACCGACCUUCCGGUCCAUGACUCCCUGACCUUCCGGUCCAUGCCAUAAUGCUUUCCGGCCCAUAUCAUACAUAGCAUACAUAUCACAUACAUCAAGUAAACAUAACAUGCAACACAUAGCAUAGAGUACAUGCAUCUCAUAGCAUACAUGACCUUCCGGUCACACAUAGGUACCUUUCCGGGUACAGUAUAGUGAGAAGACUCACCUCGGGUAAAUCUCGGAAAUCUCGGACUCUGUGAGAUAAGAUCUAGCCUCCGCCUAAUCAUAACAAACACUUCUUAUUAAUACAUUUCCCCAAGGCUAGAAUCUUUCCUUUCAUAUCAUUUUCAGAAGGGUAAAAGACCAUUUUACCCCUCUCAUGGCUCAAAUACCCAAAAGUUGACCAAACCCUAAAAGUCAAUAAAAGUCAACCUUCUGAGGUACGCGGCGCCUACCAGAUCUAUACGUUGAGCGUACCCGGAGGCUUCACAAAAUCGGGGUACGCGGCCCCUUACGCCGCGCGUACUGGGAUUACGCUCAGCGUAACUCCAAGCUUUCUCCUCCUUUUCAUUCAGGUCUUAAUCGGUGAAGACUUGCGUCCAAAAUCCAGAUCUGACUUCUCUAAUACGUCUUAAUCCGUAAAGUUGGUGACUUUAAGCCUUUGCAUGGCUGUGGAAGUCACCAACACCCAAAACACUCCAUUUCCAACCUUAAAAGGUCCAUAUCUCAUGCAUGAACAACCUUUAACAACCAAGACUGGAUUUUUAUCACAUCACAACACUAAAUGAGCUAGUAUGGGACAGAUCUCGGCUUCUAUGAGCUCAACUACUGAAAAAGCUAUGAACUUAGGGACCAAAAACCCUAAAACUUCUCUCUACAAAACAUGAAUAGAAAAUACGCAAAGCUUGAAGCUUUUUACCUCAAAAUGAAGCUUUUUUCACUGUUAAACUCGGAUCCAAAAGCUUGAGCUCCAAGACUUCCUCUUCCAAGACUAUCACUUUGCUCCAAAUGGCCAAAAACACAAUACAAAGCCCUCCUAGACACUCCCUUGCUAUAAGAACGAAAUUUAGGGUUUUGAAAUUGUAGAGCUCUAGAAAAGGUGGCCAACAAAAGGGCCUUAAGGUUGCUUAAAUAGGGAGGCUCAACAUAUUAGGGUUUCUCUUAUGGGCCGGGUACGCCCCGCGUACAUGUUGGUACACCCCGCGUACCUGGCGACCCUUCCCGCUCAAGAUGCGGACGAUUACGCUGAGCGUACACCCCAGUACACCCUGCGUACUUGCCAAACAUACAUAUCCUUAACAAGGUCCAAAAGUGCUACUUGCUCAAAGAUGAAGGUUCACGAGGUAUACCUGAUUUUUGGGAUAUUACAAGAAACCAAGCUAUAUGAAAAAUAGAUUAUAUAAAAUAGAACCAAAUUUUUGGAAAAUCAAAGAUUUUCGUGCAUAGAGUGUGAAUGAUAAAGAAAUAAAUCGAACUUUGUGGGAUAUUGUGAUGUCGAUUAAGACAUGAAACAGUGGAUCCCAGGCACGAAUCUCUUCCUUUCAAGUAAAGAGAGACUUGAAAGUAUCUGUAAGGGUUCCUGUUAUAGUACGAUCAAGUGCCUUCUAAGAAGCAAUGAAAGGCAUCUUUUAUAAAUAAAGAAAAGUUUGUUUUACUUUAUUUUAUAUCUCCUUGCAAUGGAAUUUAUGAAAACUUGAUGUUUGUAUGUUUCUAGCAAUAUUGAAAAAUAUGAAUUUGACUCUUUCAUUUAUGGUAGUGUCUAAAUUUACCAAAUAAGGAAAGCUUCUCAUCAUCUCAGUUUUUGGUUGGAUAGAAACUUAGAAUCAUACAAGUCGUACAGUAUGAUGAACGAGAAAUUUCAGCUUUGUAAAAAUAAGACUAGUUUCUUGUUCACAUGUAUAUGUGACUCAAGUAAAGGACUAAGGGAUCGAGUACACAUUCUGGUGCACUGAUCAAGUCAACCACAAAAGAUCUAUAAGACUAUUUGUCAUGAUUUAGUAAAGUUUAGUAAAUAUUGUUACACUUACAAGUUUAAGUGUAAUUCUGAUACAUUGGAAAAUUUUCGACGUAUGGCAGAACGAAUGAGAAGAAUCAAAUUAGGCAGAAGGAUAAAAGUUUCUCAAAUCUGAAAAGAUGGGAGAGUACUUUUGUAUCAUGUUAUAUGAUCAUCUUAAUGAUUAAAAGACCUUAUCACAAUUCAUCUUCUAAGUGCAUUCUGAUAGCUAAGAAAAGGAGCUAUGAUUUGUUGAAGUGGUCAAAUCAAGAAGAUGAUUCAUACCUCAUUCCAAAAACAAUGCUUAGAGUCAUACUCCAUGAUUGUAACUUGAGUGACAUAUCUUAAAGGAAGGUUUCUUAACACUAAUCAAAUGUAAGAGUAAAAGUAUCCUACUCUUGUACAUUUGAAAUUGGUAAGUUGUGAUGUUUUGGAUAAAACAAAGACCAACUAAGACCAAUUGUGUGAAGUGUUUGUCUUGAUAAAGAAUCCAAACUAUCUCUUGAAUAUUUGGCAAGUGAUUCUUAUGUAUCAAAAGGAUAAUGGGAGUCUUAAAAUCCUAAAACGAUAAUCAAGAAUAAAAACCUGUAAGUUUAUCGCUAGCAGACGACGUGAGGUUUACUACCCUUCGUGUUGACACAUUCCUACUUCUGUGCCCAAUCCAGUGAAAGUUGGCUUUGCAUAUGAGUUCUGAGAGUUCUCAAUUGGUUGCAUAACAACUUCGAAGCAAUGGCAGGCCCUUGUGCUGCUAGGUGGCAAAAAGUUAAGAGUGCACAACUUCAAUCCAUAUAAGUUUGGAUUUUUUAUUAACUAUGUCUUGUGAUUAUGGUUUUGACAAAUUCACAUGGAUAGGAACACAUACACCAUAAAAAUCUAAGUGUCAUAAGGUUUCUCUCCGAUUUAUGAAAAUGAUGGUCAGGAAACGCUUUCACUAAGUAGAUUUUAGGUAGAUAGAAACUGUGAUAUUUGCAUUCUCAAAGUCGUUAGUGGAGCGUGUGUGGUUAACUAGCACACUAACAUGGACUUGUGAGGAAUGGAAGAGGUCUAAACAAUUGAGACUAUGAUUACGACAUCCCUUUUCAUAGUCCUGAAAGUAUUUAGACACACAUGUGUUCUAUCUAAGGAAAGGUGUAUAAUUUUGAUAAUAUUUUUCUCAAAUCAUCUCGUAUCAGAAGUCUGAACAUUGGUAAGAAUGUCAAUAAACUAUUGAUUUCUAGAAGUCCAACUGAUUUCUGAGUACAUGUUAAAGCUGGUGGGAGCAUAAGUGUUAUGCUGAUAAUUCUCAUGUUAGUGGGAGGAUGAUAAUUAUGAUAAGUGUUGUAAGUUAUCAAUGUUAAUUAUAGAAACCAAAAGGUUUCAAUUGGGAAAAAGUUGUUUUGCUAUAAUUAAGGGAGNAGAAAUUCUAUAUAUGAGUCCAUUAUUUGCAUCCUAAAAUUCGAUUAUGAUUACAACAUCCCUUUUUAUAAUCUGAAUUAUGAGAACUUGGCAAAUAGAAAUAGAAAUAUUAUAGCUAAAGACUAGUCUAGUCUUUAUGUGAGACAUCAUGAAUCGUGUCCCAUAUGCUUCGGAUAAAGAAUCGAUUGCAUGUGCUAUAAUAUUCAUCCUUUCCAAAAUUUUCCAAAUGCUUGGGGCAUUAAGAAGGGAAAAGGUCUAGAAUUGGAUAUGACUAAAAGGAUUAAGAAAUUGUCGAGGACAAUCUAAGGUUUACCAAAGAUUGGUUGCUCAAGGACAAUAAGAAGUAUGGUGUUAAUUUUGGAAAGACCAUAUUGACAUACUCUGAAAAGAGGCAACUCUUGUUUAUAGGUGAUAGUCAAAAUGGGAAUAUGGAGUUGUUCCCAUAGGUGGAAGUUAUUCAUCAAAUAUGUGUAAGAUUAGGAAACUUAAUGCAUGAAGGAUGUUCAAAGCAAUAAACUUUAAUAUGAGACUUCAGUUCCAAGGACUUGGUCUCCAUUGGAAUGCUCUGUAAUGUAUGUUGACAAGUCUUUGUGACUUUGUACAUAAUUAUUAAAAGAGGACCAAUGCAUAUAAGUUUAGAAUCCAACGGAUUUAUGUAAAUGGCAGGAAUUUGGAAUUCUUGCAUUUGCAGUAAGGAAUUGGGAGUGUGAAAUGAAAAUCAUUGGAAUUAUGUUCAAUUGAUAUAUUUCACAAAGUAAAGAUCAUAGACAAACUUAUGCAUACUUGGUGUAUGGCAUGACUAGUGUUUAGAAAAACAUAGUGUACAUGCUUGGAGCAUGGGUCAACUAUUGUUUUAAUUCAAGUAUAAAGUUUAUAGUUUGAAACAAUAUACAAUGAAUGAUGGGUACUCAAUAUGGUGAUAAAUAAAAGAUGUGUUAUUUAUAUUCAUAAGUUCUGAGAUCAUAAAGGACUCGAUUAUUCUUGUGUUUCACUUUGCAUGUUUUGACUUCCAGAAUAACUAUGUCGCUUUUCCUGAAGGACUAAGUUAUUCAAACCAUCCACAGUCGGUCAUAUGUUGGAAGUAGAUAUGAAUCAAGACUGUCAUGGGUUGGCUUAUAGAGGUCUAAGAUGUUGGACAAAGUGGUGCUACAACACUAAUGAGGGCUCAUAAGUUAUGAGUAUUGGAUUCAACCCAUGUUCAUUGGAAUGACUUCAUGGAUUUUAUCACGAGUGAUCAUGAGACGAUAAUAUCUUAUAUUCUUCAAACCUAGAGAUAUGAGUUGUUACUAUGAGUUGGUUAUACAUUGAUAUCUAGAAUGGAGGAAUAUAUGAUCCCUUAUCUAAUGGACAAGUCAUUGACAAAGGUUAGAGUUCAUCGACAAGGUCAGAGUUUGACAGCGGCUUUGAGAGCUACGAUUGCUAGUUAGCUUCUGAACUCAUACUCAAUAAUAGUUUUCAACGUAUCCAAGUGGGAUACUGUUGGAUUAGUGUCUAAGUCCAUAACUACAGUUGGUAUGUACUUGACCCGACUCGGCAUGGUCCAUUUGGGUUGCAUGCCAUCAUGCAUUUGGAUAGACUAAAAUGAGAGAAAUAACACUUAAGGUUUGGUAAUAUAUUAUUAGUUCAAAAAUAUUAAUAAGAUUAUUUAAUUAGUAUUGAUCAAGAAUUAAUUUAGUGAUAAAAAGAGACUAAUUAAAUGUAUGGGGAUUGAUUGUGUAAAUCAUUCAUUCUUAUGUAUGUAGGCUUAUGAUCCAUGAUUCCUUAUGUUAGGUUUAACCCAUGUGGUGACCCAUGGAUACUCGAUGGAGGUUAAAACCCAUGGAGCAUAAUGAAUCGGUAAAGUCAUGGGUUACACGGUGUAACCCUAAUGUGCACACUAUAUAAGGACCCCUUUGGCUCAAGAAAUUGGACUAGUAAUACAUUUAUGAGGGCUAGCCAAUUUGAGCAUGAGUGUCUUCUUCUCAUGGUUAGUCCAUGUGUUGGUGAUGUUGUGUGAACCAUUUGACGUGUCACACUUGGGGCACUAGGCUCUCAAGCUUCAUGGAGUAAAGCUACAUCAAGAGGUAUGUAUUCUAACUUGUUAUAUUACCCAAGUAUCAAAAGAUUGUAUGCUAGAUAGGGUAAUACCUUGGAAUAUUCAUAUUUGCAUGUAUAAUAGAGAAAACAUUGAUCUAAGGUAUUUAGGGUUUCAUUUACACUUAGGAGUUUUAGAAUGCUCAUAACCCAACAAUAUCAUCCUCCCCUCAUGAUUUCUGCAAAUUGAAUAACUAUACUAUGAUGUUUUGAAUAUUAUGGUUGGUAUUGGAUUUGUGAAACAAUUGAUGAAGGAUUUGAUUAACUUGUAAAUGAAAAAUUUUAUUACUAUUUUUGGAUCGUUACAAGUUUGUAUCAGGGACAUGGUUUAAGGGAUUCAGGCACACUCUCGAGUAUGUUAGAACUCAAACUGAGGAAAUGAUAAUUUUUAGAAAAAAAAAAGAAAAAGGAAAUUGGAUUCUAAAAAAGAUUUUUUUAAGUAAAAGGGGGAGUGGAUGUGUGUAAUUAGCUGAGCUCAAGUAAGUGGUUCCCAAAUUAGCCAUACCAAUGUAUUGUGAUUAGUAUGCUUGAUAUGUGAAUUACAUGCUAGAUUAGGGCUAAGGAUACCUUUUGGAGUCAUAUGAUAGAAUUGCCUGAUUUGCGUGAUGCCUAUUAGCCUAGGAGGAUUGGGUAUUAUGAUUUACUUAGAAUUGAUGUCGCCUUAGUUGAUUCCUAAGUGUAUGCUUUCAAAUUUAUAUAUGGCUAGGAUCAUAUAGGCCUAGAAUGAUUGAUUUGACCUCAUUUCCUGUUCCUUGUUUGGUUGUGGAGUUAGCGUAGGAUCAUCAUUUGACAGUCUAUGUGAUUCCAUUUGUGUGUAACUUGCAUGCUUAAGGCAACCGACAGUGUUGAUUGAGAUUCUCGGUAUUGCAAGCAGUGGGAGAUGUGGAUUCCUAGGAAUGUCUAGGAUACAUAUGCUGUUUAGGAUAGAAUAGUGUAUAGUUCUAGUGUGGUGACUUAGAGGAAUCAAGAUGACUCUUGAUGAUGGUACAGGUAGGGGUGGAAGGUAGUAUUGGGCCUGUACAACUGGAAACAAAUGAUCUGUACAUGAGACGAGAGCAGACCUAGAGACUCUAAAGCUUACCUAUGUAGGGAGAUUUCACCCUCGAGUCUUAUGAUGAUUGUUUAUAUGUUUGUGUUUCAGUUUGAGCAUGGUAAGGAUUACUCGAGGAGGUUCUAGCUCUAGUUAUGGUUUUGGUACUGACUCAGGUACAUAACCAUUUGGUGAGACGUUACACGAGUUCAUUGUGGCAGAGGUUACUCGCGGUAUCUUGGAUGUUACUCCUAUGAUUUUUGGUUUUGUCAAGGAGGGGAUUAUGGAGCUGAUGGAUGAGAGGCUUAGGUCUUUUCAAGCCGAGAUUGCUGCGGGACAGAUUGAAGCUCGAACUACGUCAUUCCAGGAGUUCAAGGCAUGUGGAUAUGAGAUUGUUAAGGAGCCCAUUGCUAGCUGGCGUUGGAUCGUUGACAUGGAGAAUGCUCAAUGGAUGAGUUUUUUCCCUGAGCGGGCGAAGGUGGGAUUUUGAUACUACCUGCUGAGGGAUUGAGCACAAGAUUAGUGCGAGGAGGUUAGCCGAGCUGUAGGGUCAGCGGCAGUGGCAGUCUUGAACUGGGAGGAUUUUCUUGUGAGGUUCAAGAGGGAGUUUGCACCAGCUAUUGAAGUGCAAUAGCUGGUAAGGGAGUUCCAGGACCUUCGCUAGACUACUGAGACUGUGUCGGAGAUUACCGCCAAAUUUAGGAAGAUGGUUGUGUUGGUCCUACAGUACUCUGGGGAUGAGGAGAUGAAGAAGAUGAGGUACCAUGAUAUGUUGAGAGAGGAUAUUAGGGAGUUUGUGAGUUUCUUGGGGUGCAAGACCUUGAAUGAUAUGAUCGAGAAGGCUCGUGAGUGGGAGAUUGAGUUGGAAUUUCGAGCGAAGCGUAAGCCGGAGAAGGUGCAGUUAGCAGUGGGCCAGGAUAAGAGGCCCAUGACCUCCGAUUCCUGCACCGGAGGCCAGUGAGGCAAGUGUGGUAAGCUACACAAUAAGGCUUGUCAAGUGAUAGGUUUAGGAUGUUUCAGUUGUGGCCAACCAGGCCACAUAAGUAGGGACUACCCUACAAGUGCUCUGAUUUGCUUGCAUUGCAAUCAGAGUGGCCAUAAAAAUGAAAAUUGCCUGAGACUGUUAGGAGGAGCUAUGGCGGCGCCUGCACCAACCAUCUUGAGGAUUAAUAAUGGCCGCCUGGGAAAGGAGAAGGCACCUGUGGUGAAAAGCAGUGCAUUUUAGCUGAUCACAGAUGAGGCCAGUGCACCACCGGAUGUGGUUAUAAGUAUGUAACUCAUUUCUAUCUUGUAUUUCUUUCCUUAUUUAGGCUUAUAAUUAUAUUUUGAUCUUGUAUAGGGACCUUUUUGGUCAAUAGUUCGUUUGUUGAUGUUCUGUUUGAUUCAUUGCGCUUAGCAAGAAGUUUUAUGAUGCUCCCAGGACUCUGGAUUUUCCAUUGGAGGCCUAGAUUGCGGAUGACUGUACCAUGAGUGCUUCGAGGGUUCAUCGCGGGUGUUUCCUAAAUCUGUUUAGUGAGGUAUAUGUUGGAUAAGGUGUCUAAGUCCAUAACUAUUUCUGGUAAGUACUUGACCCGACCCGACAUGGUCCAUUUGGGUUACAUGGCACCAUGCAAUUGGAUAAACUAAAUGAGAGAAAUAACACGUAUGGUUUAUUAAUAUAUUAUAAUUUCUAAUAUAUUAAUAAUAUUGUUUAAUUAGUUUUGAUCAAGAAUUAAUUUAGAAUUAAUUAAGUGAUCAAAAGAUAACUAAUUAGAUAUAUAGGUAGAUUAAGUAAAUCUUCCAUAUCUUAUAUAGUGGAUUAAGAUGCUCCAUGGAUUAUCAAGUUGGGUUCCACCCAUAUGAUGCUCCAUGGAUGCUACAUGGAGUUAACCCAUGGAUCAAUAAAUGAAAAGUCAUGGAACAUUAGGGUUUACCUAAUGCAACAGACUAUAUAAGUAAUGUAACUCUCCCCAAAAUUGGCUACACUAAGAAAUAAGAGGGCUUGGCCAAUUUUGCAUGUGUUAGAGUAUUCUCUCAAGUUUAUACUUUGCAUUUGGUGCAAUGUGAAGAAUUUGAGGCAUCACACUUGAGGUGCUAGGCUCACAAGGUUUCAAGCAACACUUUCAACAACAAGGUAUGUAGUNCUAUGAUUCAAGUUAAAAUUGUUCCCCAUGUAUGCUAGAUAGGUUCAUAACCUUGGAAAAAAACUUUGCAUGAUUAUUAGACAAACAUAGAUCCAAGGUUAUUAGCAUUGCAUGUACACUUAGGAAGUGCUAGAAUGCUCAAAACCCAUCAAUGGUAUCCGAGCCUGGGCUUGCUUGUUUGGUUUUUGUGCAAACUGCUUGAAAAAUCGACUUUUGUCCUUUCUGCCCGUAUGAACUCGCUGAGUCCAUGGGGGGACUCUACAAGUCCAUGACCAAAUGGAAGCUACUCGUCGAGUCUGUUCAUGCACUCGACGANAGUUGCUGGAAAUGGAUUAGAAUCAUUACCCUAAAAUGUUUUGGUACUUGAAAACUUAUUUUAGAAGGUGUAAUGUCUUUUCUAACUCAUUUACAACAACUAGUUAUCAAAAUUACAAAGAUUAAAUGUGAUUUUGAUUCUUGAAAGUGUUCAUAUUCAUAUUCUUGUUCUUAUGAUGUUUAGAUGAUCAUAGGAAUUAUUUGUAACCUAUGUGGUAGAUUAAUUCAUGAUCAUAAUGUGUUUUAAUGGAGUCCAUAACUUGUCCUCAAGUUAUGGAAAACCAAAAGUCUCUUGGAUUAAAAACCAUUAAAAGAACACAAGAGUUAGGAAAAAUGAAAAGUCCUCAUUUUAUUACUCUAUUAAACUCAUAAGUUACAAGAAAUGAAAAGUUUUGAAAGUUUACAAAACUUGCCCUCAAGUUUUGGAACAAGUAAAGUUAAGUUAAAACUUUAGUUCCAACCCCUAGAAUUUUAAAAGUUAAAAUUCAACCCUUAUACUUAUAUUAUUAUGAUUUAAUAAUUAUAUAUAUAUGUAUAAGAACAAAGUCGUCUUACCGCUAGUACGCCUCAUUCACGAAGCCGGUCUAUAAGGUGGGUAUAAGGUUGUUGCCUAUAAAAUGGUGACUUAAUGGGUGUCCACUCUCACCCACCGCUUGCUUGAUCGGUGGAGGGUCGUUAGCCGAACGGGUAAGACAAGGACUUAUUAAUUCUCAUUCAAAGUAUGAUGAAUAUUAUAAAGUAACUAAAUGUUUUAUUAAAUUCCCAAUCUUAGUUACUUUAGGAAAAAUGUGAAUAAGGUGCUAUUCCAUGAAAUUACACUUUACACUUUGAUUAAGUCGUUGGUGGAGCGUGUGUGGUUAACCGGCACACUAACUUGGACUUAACAAGGUAGGUAAAGGGUGACUUAGGGUUUAUUAUAGUAUCGAUGGAGCGUGUGUGGUUAACCGGCACAUCGAUUGAGGGGUCAUACAUUAAGGGUACCAAGUGAUUUGCAAGGUUACUUACACCUCGUUUUGUGAUCCUCGGUAUCCCAGUCACAAAACUUGGAGGGCACACUCGAGAUUGAAACAUGCCUUUGAAAAGUUCAUUGAAUCUCAAAGAAUCUAGGA